AUCCAGCUGACGAGUCCCAAAUAGGAUGAGGUGGUGCGCGUCCUAGAU
rnacentral:hammerhead_ribozyme from 1 species